rnacentral:rRNA from 1 species
AGUGAACGCUGGCGGUAUGCCUAACACAUGCAAGUCGAACGGCAGCACAGUAAGAGCUUGCUCUUACGGGUGGCGAGUGGCGGACGGGUGAGGAAUACAUUGGAAUCUACUUUUUCGUGGGGGAUAACGUAGGGAAACUUACGCUAAUACUGCAUACGACCUACGGGUGAAAGCAGGGGAUCUUCGGACCUUGCGCGAUUGAAGGAGCAGAUGUCGGAUUAGCUAGUGUGGGGGGUAAAGGCCCACCAAAGCGACGAUCCGUAGCUGGUCUGAGAGGAUGAUCCGCCACACUGGAACGGAGACACGCUCCAGACUCCGACGGGAGGCAGCAGUGGGAAAUAUUAGACGAUGGGCGAAAGGCUGAUACAGCCAUACCGCGUGAGUGAAGAAGGACUUCGGGUUCGUGAGCGCAUAUGUUGGGAAAGAAAAACAGCACGUUAAGACCGCGCUGUAAUGACGGUACCCAAAUAAUAAGCACCGGCUAACUUCGUG